rnacentral:rRNA from 1 species
UGUAAGCGUAUACCAAAGUUGUUGCAGUUAAAAAGCUCGUAGUUGGAUUUCUGGUAGGAGUGACCGUUCCGAACUUGAUUGUUCGUGUAUUGUGUUUUCUCCAGCCAUCCUUGUGGAGAACUUUUCUUGCAUUAAUUUGUAGGGAUUGGGACCCGCAUCGUUUACUGUGAAAAAAUUAGAGUGUUUAAAGCAGGCAAUCGCUUGAAUACAUUAGCAUGGAAUAAUAAGAUAGGACUUUGGUACUAUUUUGUUGGUUUGCAUACCAAAUUAAUGAUCAACAGGAACAGUUUGAGGAUAUUCGUAUGAACAUGUCAGAGGUGAAAUUCUUGGAUUUUGAUCAGACGAACUACUGCGAAAGCAUUUAGCAAGGAUGUUUUCAUUAA